rnacentral:rRNA from 1 species
UACGGAGGGUGCAAGCGUUAAUCGGAAUUACUGGGCGUAAAGCGCACGCAGGCGGUUGAUUUAGUCAGAUGUGAAAUCCCCGGGCUUAACCCGGGAAUUGCAUCUGAUACUGGUGAGCUAGAGUACUGUAGAGGGGGGCGGAAUUCCAUGUGUAGCGGUGAAAUGCGUAGAGAUGUGGAGGAAUACCGGUGGCGAAGGCGACCCCCUGGAC